UAAGGUUUCUUCAAAUUUUA
rnacentral:siRNA from 1 species